UCUGCUGUAGCAAUACAGCAGGCCGGCGCACGGCGCACGGGUGCGUAACACGUGGGCAACCUGCCCUCCAAAGGGGGAUAACCCGCCGAAAGGCGGGCUAAUACCGCAUGACAUUCCGGUGACUUCGGUCGCCGGAAUCAAAGCCCGCAAGGGCGUUGGAGGAGGGGCCCGCGGCCGAUUAGCUUGUUGGCGAGGUAACGGCUCACCAAGGCUUUGAUCGGUAGCCGGUCUGAGAGGAUGGCCGGCCACACUGGAACUGAGACACGGUCCAGACUCCUACGGGAGGCAGCAGUGGGGAAUCUUGCGCAAUGGGCGAAAGCCUGACGCAGCGACGCCGCGUGGGGGAUGAAGCUUCUCGGAGUGUAAACCCCUUUCGACCCGGACGAAACGCCCGCAAGGGCUUGACGGUACGGGUAUAAGAAGCCCCGGCUAACUACGUGCCAGCAGCCGCGGUAAGACGUAGGGGGCCAGCGUUGCUCGGAAUUACUGGGCGUAAAGGGUUCGUAGGCGGUGUGGUAAGUCGGAAGUGAAAUCUCUGGGCUUAACCCAGAGGCUGCUUUCGAAACUGCCGUGCUAGAGUGCGGGAGAGGCGAGUGGAAUUACAGGUGUAGCGGUGAAAUGCGUAGAUAUCUGUAGGAACACCCGUGGCGAAGGCGGCUCGCUGGACCGCAACUGACGCUGAGGAACGAAAGCUAGGGGAGCAAACAGGAUUAGAUACCCUGGUAGUCCUAGCCCUAAACAUCAGGACUUGGGGUGGCCCGCGUUGGCGGGUCGUCCCGGAGCUAA
rnacentral:rRNA from 1 species